CCAAAACUUGAAUCCCGAUAGGCA
rnacentral:rasiRNA from 1 species